CCUGUAAUCUCAGCCCUGUGGGAGGCCAAGGCGGGCGGAACACCUGAGGUAAAGGGUUCGCGACCAGCCUGGCCAACAUGGCGAAACCCUGUCUCUACUAAAAAUACAAAAUUAUGCCGGGCGUGGUGGCGGGCGCCUUGUAAUCCCAACUACUCGGGAGGCUGAGGCAGGAGAAUCGCUUGAGCCCGCGAGUCAGAGGUUGCAGUGAGCCGAGAUCGCGCCACUGCACUCCAGCCUGGCGACAGAGCGAGACUCUGUCUCAAAAAAAAAAAAAGUGAUGACGUGAAUGUGCACACGUAGAAUAAAUGUGCAAAUGUGCGUUUGUGGGUAAUCACAGGAAAAAAUUCCCAAACCAUAGCGCAGUUCCCAGAAAUGUCAUUCCUGGUUAUCUCCCUCUGCUAAUCUAGGAUUACCUUGCCUUUCAUUUUCUUCUUUAUACUCGCCUCUGUUUCCUCAAUUAUUUGCAAUGAGCAAGAAUGCCUUUGAGCUCCCAAACACAGGGCGAGGCAGCUAUUUUCACUGGGAAAAAGAAAAUGCUGGCCGGGCGCGGCGGCUCACGCCUGUAAUCCCAGCACUUUGGGAGGCCGAGGCGGGUGGAUCACGAGGUCAGGAGAUCGAGACCAUCCUGGCUAACACGGUGAAACCCCGUCUCUACUAAAAAUACAAAAAAUUAGCCCGGCGCGGUGGCAGGCGCCUGUAGUCCCAGCUACUCGGGAGGCUGAGGC
rnacentral:lncRNA from 10 species